GCGGAUGUAGCUCAAUGGCAGAGCACCGCACUGUGGCUGCGGUGGUUGCGGGUUCGACCCCCGUCGUCCGCC
rnacentral:tRNA from 1 species